UACGAAGGGGGCUAGCGUUGUUCGGAAUCACUGGGCGUAAAGCGCACGUAGGCGGAUUGUUAAGUCGGGGGUGAAAUCCUGAGGCUCAACCUCAGAACUGCCUUCGAUACUGGCAAUCUCGAGUCCGGAAGAGGUUGGUGGAACAGCUAGUGUAGAGGUGAAAUUCGUAGAUAUUAGGAAGAACACCAGUGGCGAAGGCGGCUCACUGGCCCGGUACUGACGCUGAGGCGCGAAAGCGUGGGGAGCAAACAGG
rnacentral:rRNA from 1 species